AGUUAAAAACUCAGAAAGUAAUAUGUUUUGAAAACAUAAAACAAGGAGUUUAAAUCUCCUAUUAACUU
rnacentral:tRNA from 1 species